UACGUAGGGGGCUAGCGUUGUCCGGAUUUAUUGGGCGUAAAGAGCGUGUAGGCGGCCGGGUAAGUCCGGUGUGAAAACUAGAGGCUUAACCUCUAGACGUCGAUGGAAACUGUUUGGCUAGAGUCCGGAAGAGGAGAAUGGAAUUCCUGGUGUAGCGGUGAAAUGCGCAGAUAUCAGGAAGAACACCCGUGGCUAAGGCGGUUCUCUAGUACGGUACUGACGCUGAGACGCGAAAGCGUGGGGAGCGAACAGG
rnacentral:rRNA from 1 species